GAGGACCUUCCCUGCAAGGCUGAGAUAAAAGGUCCGCUCUAGUCCUGCUCUGACUUAUCUGGACUGAUCAGACAGACUUCUCAAAAUGGGGUUCCCUGCUCAACUCCUGGGGCUGCUGAUGCUCUGGAUCCCCGGAUCCAGUGGGGAUAUUGUGAUGACACAGAGCCCACACUCUGCGCCUGUCAGCCCUGGAGAGUCAGCCUCCAUCUCCUGCAGGUCUAGUCAGAGCCUCCUACAUAGUAAUGGAAACACCUAUCUGCAAUGGUACCUGCAGAAACCAGGCCAGUCUCCACAGCUCCUGAUUUAUGGGGUUUCCAACCGGGCAUCUGGGGUCCCAGACAGGUUCAGUGGCAGUGGGUCAGGGACAGAUUUCACCCUCAAGAUCAGCAGGGUGCAGGCUGACGAUGCUGGAGUUUAUUACUGCCAACAAGAUAUACAAAAUCCUCCCACAGUGAUACAGCCCUGAACACAAACUACCCUG